AUUGAACGCUGGCGGAAUGCUUUACACAUGCAAGUCGAACGGCAGCACGGGGCAACCUGGUGGCGAGUGGCGAACGGGUGAGUAAUACAUCGGAACGUGCCCAGUCGUGGGGGAUUACGUAGCGAAAGUUACGCUAAUACCGCAUACGAUCUAAGGAUGAAAGCGGGGGAUCGCAAGACCUCGCGCGAUUGGAGCGGCCGAUGUCAGAUUAGGUAGUUGGUGGGGUAAAGGCCCACCAAGCCGACGAUCUGUAGCUGGUCUGAGAGGACGACCAGCCACACUGGGACUGAGACACGGCCCAGACUCCUACGGGAGGCAGCAGUGGGGAAUUUUGGACAAUGGGCGCAAGCCUGAUCCAGCCAUUCCGCGUGCAGGAUGAAGGCCUUCGGGUUGUAAACUGCUUUUGUACGGAGCGAAAAGGCUCUCUCUAAUACAGGGGGCUCAUGACGGUACCGUAAGAAUAAGCACCGGCUAACUACGUGCCAGCCGCCGCCGUA
rnacentral:rRNA from 1 species